AUUGAACGCUGGCGGCAGGCCUAACACAUGCAAGUCGAGCGGAUGAAGGGAGCUUGCUCCUGGAUUCAGCGGCGGACGGGUGAGUAAUGCCUAGGAAUCUGCCUGGUAGUGGGGGAUAACGUCCGGAAACGGGCGCUAAUACCGCAUACGUCCUGAGGGAGAAAGUGGGGGAUCUUCGGACCUCACGCUAUCAGAUGAGCCUAGGUCGGAUUAGCUAGUUGGUGGGGUAAAGGCCUACCAAGGCGACGAUCCGUAACUGGUCUGAGAGGAUGAUCAGUCACACUGGAACUGAGCCACGGUCCAGACUCCUACGGGAGGCAGCAGUGGGGAAUAGUGGACAAUGGGCGAAAGCCUGAUCCAGCCAUGCCGCGUGUGUGAAGAAGGUCUUCGGAUUGUAAAGCACUUUAAGUUGGGAGGAAGGGCAGUAAGUUAAUACCUUGCUGUUUUGACGUUACCAACAGAAUAAGCACCGGCUAACUUCGUG
rnacentral:rRNA from 1 species